GACGAACGCUGGCGGCGUGCUUAACACAUGCAAGUCGAACGGAAAAGCUCCCUUUUGCUGUACUCGAUUAGCGACCAGCUGAUUAACACCUCAGUAACCUCCCCCUCCUUAUUGUGUAACUUCCGCUAAAUGGGGCUACUACCAGUUAAGAUCUCCUGCUUCCUCGUGGGCGCUUUCUGGAUUCUUCUGCGGUUGGGGAUGGACUCGCGGCUUAUCAGCUUGUUGGUGUGGUAGUGGCUCACCAAGGCGACGACGGGUAGCCGGCCUGAGAGGGCGACCGGCCACACUGGGACUGAGACACGGCCCAGACUCCUACGGGAGGCAGCAGUGGGGAAUAUUGCACAAUGGGCGGAAGCCUGAUGCAGCGACGCCGCGUGAGGGAUGACGGCCUUCGGGUUGUAAACCGCUUUCGGCAGUGAAGAAGCGAAAGUGACGGUAAUGGGUAAAGAAGCACCGGCUAACUACGUG
rnacentral:rRNA from 1 species